rnacentral:rRNA from 1 species
AGUGAACGCUGGCGGCAGGCCUAACACAUGCAAGUCGAACGGCAGCACAGUAAGAGCUUGCUCUUAUGGGUGGCGAGUGGCGGACGGGUGAGGAAUACAUCGGAAUCUACUCUUUCGUGGGGGAUAACGUAGGGAAACUUACGCUAAUACCGCAUACGACCUACGGGUGAAAGCGGAGGACCUUCGGGCUUCGCGCGAUUGAAUGAGCCGAUGUCGGAUUAGCUAGUUGGCGGGGUAAAGGCCCACCAAGGCGACGAUCCGUAGCUGGUCUGAGAGGAUGAUCAGCCACACUGGAACUGAGACACGGUCCAGACUCCUACGGGAGGCAGCAGUGGGGAAUAUUGGACAAUGGGCGCAAGCCUGUUCCAGCCAUGCCGCGUGGGUGAAGAAGGCCUUCGGGUUGUAAAGCCCUUUUGUUGGGAAAGAAAAGCAGUCGGUUAAUACCCGAUUGUUCUGACGGUACCCAAAGAAUAAGCACCGGCUAACUUCGUGCCAGCAGCCGCCGUAA